GGAGGAACGGAGUCAACAUAAACCAUAGCAGAAGGCUGAGUCCUAGCACCUCGUGCUAGCUUAUCCGCCAUCAUGUUUUGUGCCUUUGGAAUAUGCUGAAUAGUGAAAGUAGAGAAGUAUUCCUUACAUCGUAGAAACUCUUCCAUGUGAGUAGUGAACGCCGGCCAUUCUGUUGGAGUAGACACCAUCUUCACCAACUGUGAGCAGUCUGUUGCAAACACCACCUCUGAGAUAUGUAGGGUCUUCAUGCACUCCAUCGCCCAUAUCAAAGCUUCACAUUCUGCGUGUAAAAGUGAUAGACUCCUGCGAAUAGACAUUGCACCC
rnacentral:lncRNA from 1 species